AAUACGUAGGGUGCGAGCGUUGUCCGGAAUUACUGGGCGUAAAGAGCUCGUAGGUGGUUUGUCGCGUCGUCUGUGAAAUUCCGGGGCUUAACUCCGGGCGUGCAGGCGAUACGGGCAUAACUUGAGUACUGUAGGGGAGACUGGAAUUCCUGGUGUAGCGGUGAAAUGCGCAGAUAUCAGGAGGAACACCGGUGGCGAAGGCGGGUCUCUGGGCAGUAACUGACGCUGAGGAGCGAAAGCAUGGGUAGCGAACAGGAUUAGAUACCCUGGUAGUCCAUGCCGUAAACGGUGGGCGCUAGGUGUAGGGGUCUUCCACGACUUCUGUGCCGUAGCUAACGCAUUAAGCGCCCCGCCUGGGGAGUACGGCCGCAAGGCUAAAACUCAAAUGAAUUGACGGGG
rnacentral:rRNA from 1 species